CGGACAAAUCACGUUGAAACACCGGUCUCCGUACGAUCACCGAAGUCAAGUAACGUUGAUCUUGGUCAUUAUCCAGAUGGGUGACCGCUUGGGAAUACCAGGUGAUGUG